UACGGAGGAUCCAAGCGUUAUCCGGAUUUAUUGGGUUUAAAGGGUGCGUAGGCGGCCUAUUAAGUCAGGGGUGAAAGACGGUAGCUCAACUAUCGCAGUGCCCUUGAUACUGAUGGGCUUGAAUGAACUAGAGGUAGGCGGAAUGUGACAAGUAGCGGUGAAAUGCAUAGAUAUGUCACAGAACACCAAUUGCGAAGGCAGCUUACUAUGGUUUGAUUGACACUGAGGCACGAAAGUGUGGGGAUCAAACAGG
rnacentral:rRNA from 1 species